GCGCCUGUAGCUCAACUGGAUAGAGCAUCUGACUACGGAUCAGAAGGUUCGGGGUUCGAAUCCCUGCAGGCGUACCA
rnacentral:tRNA from 1 species